GACGAACGCUGGCGGCGUGCUUAACACAUGCAAGUCGAACGGAAAGGCCCUGCUUUUGUGGGGUGCUCGAGUGGCGAACGGGUGAGUAACACGUGAGUAACCUGCCCUUGACUUUGGGAUAACUUCAGGAAACUGGGGCUAAUACCGGAUAGGAGCUCCUGCUGCAUGGUGGGGGUUGGAAAGUUUCGGCGGUUGGGGAUGGACUCGCGGCUUAUCAGCUUGUUGGUGGGGUAGUGGCUUACCAAGGCUUUGACGGGUAGCCGGCCUGAGAGGGUGACCGGCCACAUUGGGACUGAGAUACGGCCCAGACCCCUACGGGAGGCAGCAGUGGGGAAUAUUGCACAAUAGGCGGAAGCCUGAUGCAGCAACGCCGCGUGCGGGAUGACGGCCUUCGGGUUGUAAACCGCUUUCGCCUGUGACGAAGCGUGAGUGACGGUAAUGGGUAAAGAAGCACCGGCUAACUACGUG
rnacentral:rRNA from 1 species